rnacentral:rRNA from 1 species
CCCUGGCUCAGAACGAACGCUGGCGGCAGGCUUAACACAUGCAAGUCGAACGCCCCGCAAGGGGAGUGGCAGACGGGUGAGUAACGCGUGGGAAUCUACCCAAUUCUUCGGAACAACUGAGGGAAACUUCAGCUAAUACCGGAUGUGCCCUUCGGGGGAAAGAUUUAUCGGAAUUGGAUGAGCCCGCGUUGGAUUAGCUAGUUGGUGGGGUAAAGGCCUACCAAGGCGACGAUCCAUAGCUGGUCUGAGAGGAUGAUCAGCCACACUGGGACUGAGACACGGCCCAGACUCCUACGGGAGGCAGCAGUGGGGAAUAUUGGACAAUGGGCGCAAGCCUGAUCCAGCCAUGCCGCGUGAGUGAUGAAGGUCUUAG